rnacentral:rRNA from 1 species
GACGAACGCUGGCGGCGUGCCUAAUACAUGCAAGUCGAGCGGACGAACUUUUGGUGCUUGCACCGAAUUUUCGUUAGCGGCGGACGGGUGAGUAACACGUGGGCAACCUGCCCUGUAGAUUGGGAUAACUCCGGGAAACCGGGGCUAAUACCGAAUAAUACUUUUUAACUCAUGUUAGAAAGUUGAAAGAUGGUUCUGCUAUCACUACAGGAUGGGCCCGCGGCGCAUUAGCUAGUUGGUGAGGUAACGGCUCACCAAGGCGACGAUGCGUAGCCGACCUGAGAGGGUGAUCGGCCACACUGGGACUGAGACACGGCCCAGACUCCUACGGGAGGCAGCAGUAGGGAAUCUUCCACAAUGGGCGAAAGCCUGAUGGAGCAACGCCGCGUGAGUGAAGAAGGAUUUCGGUUCGUAAAACUCUGUUGUAAGGGAAGAACAAGUAGCGUAGUAACUGGCGCUACCUUGACGGUACCUUAUUAGAAAGCCACGGCUAACUACGUGCCAGCAGCCGCCGUAAUAC